rnacentral:rRNA from 1 species
CCUACGGGAGGCUGCAGUGAGGAAUAUUGGUCAAUGGCCGCAGGGCUGAACCAGCCAAGUCGCGUGAGGGAUGACGGUCCUAUGGAUUGUAAACCUCUUUUGUCAGGGAGCAAAGGGCGGCACGGGUGGCGCUUUGCGAGUACCUGAAGAAAAACGCUCGGCUAACUCCGUUCCCGCAGCCGCGGUAAUACGGAGGAUUCGAGCGUUAGCCGGAUUUCUUGGGUUUAAAGGGUGCGCCGGAGGAUGGUCAAGCCAGCGGUAAACUUUCGGGGCUCAACCCCGGCGUGCCGUUGAAACUGGCGUUCUUGAGUGAGCGAGAAGUAUGCGGAAUGCGUGGUAUAGCGGUGAAAUGCAUAGAUAUCACGCAGAACUACGAUUGCGAAGGCAGCAUACCGGCGCUCAACUGACGCUCAUGCACGAAAGCGUGGGUAUCGAACAGGAUUAGAUACCCCAGUAGUC